rnacentral:rRNA from 1 species
CGGACGGGUGAGUAAUGUCUGGGAAACUGCCUGAUGGAGGGGGAUAACUACUGGAAACGGUAGCUAAUACCGCAUAACGUCGCAAGACCAAAGAGGGGACCUUCGGGCCUCUUGCCAUCGGAUGUGCCCAGAUGGGAUUAGCUAGUAGGUGGGGUAACGGCUCACCUAGGCGACGAUCCCUAGCUGGUCUGAGAGGAUGACCAGCCACACUGGAACUGAGACACAGUCCAG